AAUAAAUGGUAGCAGGCACGUAGGGCUUCCCUGGUGGCUCAGAUGGUAAAGAAUCUGCCUGCAAUGCAGGAGACCUGGGUUCGAUCCCUAGGUUAGGAAGAUCCCCUGGAGAAGGAAAUAACUACGCGCUGCAGUAUUCUUGCCUGGAGAAUCCUCAUGGACAGAGGAGCCUGGUGGGCUACCGUUCAUGGGGUUGCGAAGAGUCAGACACGACUAAGCGACUAACACUAGAAUUUCCUCCCAGGCCUCUUUCUUAAAGCUUUGUCUUGCUCCUGUUUACCGGCCAGGGACAAAAACAAAGCUAAAAAAGUAGCAAGCCAGUGUAAAAGGAGGUGGGUCUAGGGGGUUGGGAAUCAGGAGGAGAUCAGGUUCUGCAGGACCCUAACUGCCAGGAGAUGGAAUUUUGUCUUUAUCCUGAAGAUAAUCAGUGGUUUUUGAUAAGGAGAUAGAAUAAAAAUUUGAAAGCAGUCUCUAAAUUUCAGAAAUGGAAUCCGUUCAUGAGAGUUCAUUUCAAAUAAGAAUCUCCACACUUGGAGCACGAGGUCUGGCCUGUCAAGCAAUUUUUGUCAGUCUCCAGAUUAGUGACGGGUGACUUGGCACCAGGGCUGCUGGGCUGGCAAGAAAGGAGCUCUCGUGUGUCACAUCAGGGACCGCCAGAGGCACCCGGGGCCACGUGACUUGUCACUUACAGGAGGACACAGCCCGAGACUGUUCCAUCCGCCGGCUGCUGAGUCAUCCUACUCUGGGAGCUAUUUAAACAGAAGUCUCCAGGAGACACACAGUCAACACUCCACUCAGACAAUGCCCAGACCUGCGGAAACCAUGUCCAGCUUGGACUGCCCACGACACGUGCAAAAACGGUUUCCAUCCUCUUCCCGAUUUUAUCACUCUAGGGGGUUAAGACUUCUGCCUCCUUUCCUCCAAAUGGGUCUCUUCAGCCGAUACUCCAGGGGCCCCUUGGCCCCAGAGGCCACCAAUUCCUGUUUCAAAGUUUCCUCACGGCCUUUCUAGUACAGUAUUUCUGUCAAGUCAGCAAACAUGGGUUGAGCACUGGUGAGGGGUGAGGCACUGACCUCCAGGUAACGUUGUUGGUUAAAGGAUAAAUGAGACACGUUCCUUGCCUUUAGAGGCUUAGAGUCUAGUGGAAGAGACUCUUCCAGGCAACUGCAAUUUACAAAGUGACGGCUCCAAGACAGGUGCUCCCUCCAGCGUGUCAGAUGAGGACUCUCUUCACAUUUGGCUGUCAUCUAUCAGCCACCGCUGUCCUGGCCAGAAGCGCUGGAUUUGGCUUUCAAGCCUGCUUCCUGGCUUGUCUAUCUCCGCCACUCCAUUAAGGAUACCAUUUGAUAUCACAUGUGCUGCGAGCGCUGUUGAUGAGAGUACUAAAGUUGCUGGACCUGAGUGACGUCUUUGGGAAGGAUGAGACAAUGUGCCCAUCUGGUUGUUGUGUCCAAAAGCUGUACUUACCUUCCAACGGAAAGGAAACCACCAGAAACGAAAAACAAGAAUCCACCAGAAGCGGUUGAACCAAGAAGGCUCAAGAUGGCAGCUUUGGCCUCCAGUGGACCUUGGCUUUAUAAUAGACUCAUUGUAAUGCGUUAGCAUGCCACAGAACACACCCAGUAGUGCCAUGACAGUUAACAAUUGUCUUGGCAACAGACGAAAGAACCCUGCAAGGACUGAUGGAGUCGUGAAUAUUUCUCUCUCUCUUUACUCAAUUCCCUCCCUUUUACCUUGACCUUCUUGUAUAUAUGGUGUCUCAGCCCGAGUGGGUUUGAAAGUUGACUUGCAAACUAAGUUCUUCUUUCUCCAUUCUCGGGCCAUUGAAUAAAGCUUGUACUGUUUCAGUCUCA